rnacentral:rRNA from 1 species
CAAGACCUUGCGCUUUUGGAGCGGCCGAUGUCUGAUUAGCUAGUUGGUGGGGUAAAGGCUUACCAAGGCUUCGAUCAGUAGCUGGUCUGAGAGGACGACCAGCCACACUGGGACUGAGACACGGCCCAGACUCCUACGGGAGGCAGCAGUGGGGAAUUUUGGACAAUGGGGGAAACCCUGAUCCAGCCAUGCCGCGUGAGUGAAGAAGGCCUUCGGGUUGUAAAGCUCUUUCAGCCGGAACGAAAAGGUCAUGGCUAAUACCCGUGACAAAUGACGGUACCGGAAGAAGAAGCACCGGCUGACUACGUGCCAGCAGCCGCGGUAAUACGUAGGGUGCAAGCGUUAAUCGGAAUUACUGGGCGUAAAGCGUGCGCAGGCGGUUUUGUAAGUCAGAUGUGAAAUCCCCGGGCUUAACCUGGGAACU